CUCAUGGAGCUGAAGUCAGUCGAAGAUACCAGCUGGCUGCAACUGUUUAUUAAAAACACAGCACUGUGCAAACACGAAAGUGGACGUAUACGGUGUGACGCCUGCCCGGUGCCGGAAGGUUAAUUGAUGGGGUCAGCGCAAGCGAAGCUCCUGAUCGAAGCCCCGGUAAACGGCGGCCGUAACUAUAACGGUCCUAAGGUAGCGAAAUUCCUUGUCGGGUAAGUUCCGACCUGCACGAAUGGCGUAAUGAUGGCCAGGCUGUCUCCACCCGAGACUCAGUGAAAUUGAACUCGCUGUGAAGAUGCAGUGUACCCGCGGCAAGACGGAAAGACCCCGUGAACCUUUACUAUAGCUUGACACUGAACAUUGAGCCUUGAUGUGUAGGAUAGGUGGGAGGCUUUGAAGUGUGGACGCCAGUCUGCAUGGAGCCGACCUUGAAAUACCACCCUUUAAUGUUUGAUGUUCUAACGUGGACCCGUGAUCCGGGUUGCGGACAGUGUCUGGUGGGUAGUUUGACUGGGGCGGUCUCCUCCUAAAGAGUAACGGAGGAGCACGAAGGUUGGCUAAUCCUGGUCGGACAUCAGGAGGUUAGUGCAAUGGCAUAAGCCAGCUUGACUGCGAGCGUGACGGCGCGAGCAGGUGCGAAAGCAGGUCAUAGUGAUCCGGUGGUUCUGAAUGGAAGGGCCAUCGCUCAACGGAUAAAAGGUACUCCGGGGAUAACAGGCUGAUACCGCCCAAGAGUUCAUAUCGACGGCGGUGUUUGGCACCUCGAUGUCGGCUCAUCACAUCCUGGGGCUGAAGUAGGUCCCAAGGGUAUGGCUGUUCGCCAUUUAAAGUGGUACGCGAGCUGGGUUUAGAACGUCGUGAGACAGUUCGGUCCCUAUCUGCCGUGGGCGCUGGAGAACUGAGGGGGGCUGCUCCUAGUACGAGAGGACCGGAGUGGACGCAUCACUGGUGUUCGGGUUGUCAUGCCAAUGGCACUGCCCGGUAGCUAAAUGCGGAAGAGAUAAGUGCUGAAAGCAUCUAAGCACGAAACUUGCCCCGAGAUGAGUUCUCCCUGAGACUUUAGGUCUCCUGAAGGAACGUUGAAGACGACGACGUUGAUAGGCCGGGUGUGUAAGCGCAGCGAUGCGUUGAGCUAACCGGUACUAAUGAACCGUGAGGCUUAACCUUACA
rnacentral:rRNA from 1 species